rnacentral:rRNA from 1 species
UCAUUUCUUUGAAAUAGAUAGAUUUUUCUGGGGCGCGGCUCGUUCGUCGUCAAAAAAUAAAAUGUGCGAAGCAGGCAGAUUUAUUUAUUCUGUCUCCGAAGCAUUCGCUUGCGAAUAAGUAAAUAAAUACCUCUCUUCCUUUCUAGUGUGGGUUUGUUAUUAACAGGUAAUUAUUAAUAGUAGGUUAGGGCGGGCAUUUUAAUUAAUGUGGUAAAAUAAGGUUUUAUUAAGAUUAAUUACUUUGUAGCAACCGCCAGCAGUUUUCUUUAAUUAAUAAAAAAGUAAGGGGGGGAAGCGGUCGGUCACCGUCGUUGUUUUUCUUAUAAAUAAUCCCGGCCGGCCAUUAAUUGGGGUUCGUUAAAAAAAACCCCCCAUUAAUUCGCUCGUUUUUUUUAAAAAUUAUCCCACAUGCAAAUGUGUGGGUGUGUUUUAAGGGGCGCGAUUUGUCUUAAUGGCCCGGUGAAUGACUCCCCUAGCAGCUUGUGAGAAAUCAUAAGUCUUUGGGUUCCGGGGGGAGUAUGGUCGCAGGCUGAAACUUAAGGAAUUGACGGAAGGCACCACCAGAGUGGAGCCUGCGGCUUAAUUGACUCAACACGGGGAAACUUACCAGUCCGGACAUGUAGGAUGAAAUGAUGCUCUUUCUGAUUCUAGGGUGUGUGCAGGCCGUUCUUA